UAGAGUUUGCUCAUGGCUCAGGAUGAACGCUGGCGGCGUGCCUAAUACAUGCAAAGUCGAACGGUUCUCGCAAGAGGAUAGUGGCGAACGGGUGAGUAACGCGUUGGUGACCUGCCCCUUAGUGAGGGAUAACAGAUCGAAAGAUCUGCUAAUACCGCAUAAGCUCGUGGAGAUUAGAAGGCCAUGAGGGAAGCCGAAAGGCGCUGAGGGAGGGACCUGCGACCCAUCAGCUAGUUGGUGAGGUAACGGCCCACCAAGGCGAUGACGGGUAGGGGACCUGAGAGGGUGACCCCCCACAAUGGAACUGAAACACGGUCCAUACACCUACGGGUGGCAGCAGUAGGGRAWWWUKGGGAAUGGGCGCAAGCCUGACCCAGCAACGCCGCGUGAGUGAUGAAGGCCUUCGGGUUGUAAAACUCUCUUCACCGGGAAGAGGAAGGACGGUACCGGUGGAAUAAGUCUCGGCKAACUACGUGCCAGCCGCCGCGGKAAUAC
rnacentral:rRNA from 1 species